rnacentral:rRNA from 1 species
CAGUCGCCACGGUAAUACGAAGGGGGCUAGCGUUGCUCGGAAUGACUGGGCGUAAAGGGCGCGUAGGCGGCCAUUCAAGUUAGAUGUGAAAGCCCUGGGCUCAACCUAGGAAUUGCAUUUGAUACUGUUUGGCUUGAGUUCGGGAGAGGUGAGUGGAAUUCCCAGUGUAGAGGUGAAAUUCGUAGAUAUUGGGAAGAACACCAGUGGCGAAGGCGGCUCACUGGACCGACACUGACGCUGAGGCGCGAAAGCGUGGGGAGCAAACAGGAUUAGAUACCCGCGUAGUCCCUGUCUCUUAUAC